AGAGAAGAUGCAUAAACAUAUGGAAGUCUGCAAACUAACAAUUUUUUACUUCUAAUAGUACCAGUAGGGGGAUUAUUUUUGAAGAAUCUCAUUCAGUUCUACUUACCUUUGCAGGCGCUCCUGAUCUUGUGCGUCUUCUUGUAUUGGUGGUUCCUGCGGUUGAAACUGAAUGAUUUCAGGCUGUUGUUCACCUUCUAGGCGUGCAUAUCUGUACGAAACAAAACCACAGAAGCACAGGUUACAGAAACUGAGGAUUGCUAGCAACCGAAAAUACUUGUCCAACCGACUAUGGUUUAUAGUAUCCCCGAACCAACUUCUGCGAAACAGAAUAAAGAAUACGAUGAGGAACCUUCCAAUACCAAUCACGAAGCCAUUGAAUGGUGUUUCAAAGAGCUUCAUUGAUU
rnacentral:misc_RNA from 1 species